AUGCCACUCCUAGAGAAGCUUCCAUGUCUUGUGGUGUUGCAUCUAUGGAAUUAUGGGGGCCCGACUAUGCACUGCUCUGCCCAAGGAUUCCCUCAGCUGCAAAAUCUGGAACUUCAUUUCUUUAGUACCGAGUGGACGAUAGAGGUGGGGGCAAUGCCAAGGCUCUCCAACCUGAACCUUCUGAGUUGCGGGAUGCACAAGCUCCCCCAGGAUCUGCUGAACCUGCAGUACUUGAAGAAGUUGGAAACUAACCGCUGGCGGCUGAAAUUUGACAACACAUGGAAAGAACUGAAAAAGAAGGGAUGCAAGAUGUGCGUUUUGGUGGAUGCCUCUUAG
rnacentral:rRNA from 1 species